rnacentral:rRNA from 1 species
GGCCAUACCAUGCUGAAUAUACCGGUUCUCGUUAGAUCACCGAAGUCAAGCAUCAUUGGGCGCGGUCAGUACUUGGGUGGGUGACCACCUGGGAACACCGCGUGCCGUU